CUGGGUUUCAAUGUCUUCCUGGGAAACACCAGUUCCAUUGGUGAAGCCUCUUGGAGUUUUUAGAUCCCCUGUGGGAAAUGAGCAAAAUAAGUCCCUGUGCUGCGGCUAAGAAGAGUGAGCCACACCAAGUUCCUGCCCUCAGGACUCACAUUCAAGGGACCUGCCCUCUUGCCGCCCACGGAUC